rnacentral:rRNA from 1 species
UACGAAGGGGGCGAGCGUUGUUCGGAAUUACUGGGCGUAAAGGGCGCGUAGGCGGCGAACCAAGUCAGAUGUGAAAGUCCUGGGCUUAACCUGGGGACUGCAUUUGAUACUGGUUUGCUUGAAUUCGGGAGAGGAUAGCGGAAUUCCCAGUGUAGAGGUGAAAUUCGUAGAUAUUGGGAAGAACACCGGUGGCGAAGGCGGCUAUCUGGACCGACAUUGACGCUGAGGUGCGAAAGCGUGGGGAGCAACAGG